UACGGGGGGGGCAAGCGUUGUUCGGAAUUACCGGGCGUAAAGGGUUUGUAGGUGGCCGGCUAAGUCAGACGUGAAAUCCCUCAGCUUAACUGGGGAACUGCGUCUGAAACUGAUCGGCUCGAGUGCAGGAGAGGAACGCGGAAUUCCAGGUGUAGCGGUGAAAUGCGUAGAUAUCGGGAGGAACACCAGUGGCGAAGGCGGUUACCUGGAGCUUUGCUGACGCUGAUGCGCGAAAGCGUGGGGAGCGAUCCGG
rnacentral:rRNA from 1 species